GAUGAACGCUAGCGACAGGCCUAACACAUGCAAGUCGAGGGGCAGCACAUGAGUAGCAAUACGAUGGUGGCGACCGGCGCACGGGUGAGUAACACGUAUGCAACCUGCCUUCUACUAUGGGAUAACCCGUUGAAAGACGGACUAAUACCGUAUAAUACAGGGGCUCCGCAUGGAGAUAUUUGUUAAAGAUUUAUUGGUAGAAGAUGGGCAUGCGUAUGAUUAGAUGGUUGGUGAGGUAACGGCUCACCAAGUCAACGAUCAUUAGGGGUUCUGAGAGGAAGGUCCCCCACACUGGUACUGAGACACGGACCAGACUCCUACGGGAGGCAGCAGUGAGGAAUAUUGGUCAAUGGACGAGAGUCUGAACCAGCCAAGUCGCGUGAAGGAAGACGGUUCUAUGAAUUGUAAACUUCUUUUGUGCAGGAAUAAAGUGGGUUACGUGUAACCUUUUGUAUGUACCCUGAGAAUAAGGAUCGGCUAACUCCGUGCCAGCCGCCGCAGUAACAC
rnacentral:rRNA from 1 species